rnacentral:rRNA from 1 species
GAUGAACGCUGGCGGCGUGCCUAAUACAUGCAAGUCGAGCGAACAGACGAGGAGCUUGCUCCUCUGACGUUAGCGGCGGACGGGUGAGUAACACGUGGAUAACCUACCUAUAAGACUGGGAUAACUUCGGGAAACCGGAGCUAAUACCGGAUAAUAUAUUGAACCGCAUGGUUCAAUAGUGAAAGACGGUUUUGCUGUCACUUAUAGAUGGAUCCGCGCCGCAUUAGCUAGUUGGUAAGGUAACGGCUUACCAAGGCAACGAUGCGUAGCCGACCUGAGAGGGUGGUCGGCCAAACUGGAACUGAGACACGGUCCAGACUCCUACGGGAGGCAGCAGUAGGGAAUCUUCCGCAAUGGGCGAAAGCCUGACGGAGCAACGCCGCGUGAGUGAUGAAGGUCUUCGGAUCGUAAAACUCUGUUAUUAGGGAAGAACAAAUGUGUAAGUAACUAUGCACGUCUUGACGGUACCUAAUCAGAAAGCCACGGCUAACUACGUG